rnacentral:rRNA from 1 species
UACGUAGGGUGCAAGCGUUGUCCGGAAUUAUUGGGCGUAAAGGGCUCGUAGGCGGUCUGUCACGUCGGGAGUGAAAACUCGGGGCUUAACCCCGGGCCUGCAGUGGGUACGGGCAGACUAGAGUGCGGUAGGGGAGACUGGAAUUCCUGGUGUAGCGGUGAAAUGCGCAGAUAUCAGGAGGAACACCGGUGGCGAAGGCGGGUCUCUGGGCCGAAACUGACGCUGGAGGAGCGAAAGCGUUGGGGAGCAAACAGG